rnacentral:rRNA from 1 species
GAUGAACGCUGGCGGCGUGCCUAACACAUGCAAGUCGAGCGGCAGCGAGGGGUGUUUGCACUCUGUCGGCGAGCGGCGGGCGGGUGAGUAACGCGUGGGAACGUCCCCCAAAGGGGGGAAUAACUGCCCGAAAGGGUAGCUAAUACCGCAUAGUAUCUUCGGAUCAAAGGAUUUAUCCGGUUUGGGAGCGGCCCGCGCCGGAUUAGGGAGUUGGUGAGGUAAUGGCUCACCAAGCCGACGAGCCGUAGCUGGGCUGGGAGGAUGACCAGCCAGCCUGGAACUGGGACACGUUCCAGACUCCUACGGGAGGCAGCAAUUAGGAAUCUUCCACGACGGGCGAGAGCCUGAGGGAGCAACGCCGCGUGGAGGACGAAGGCCUUCGGGUUGUAAACUGCUGUUAAAAGUGCGGAAUGUGACGGUAACUUAUGAAUAAGGAUCGGCUAACUACGUG